rnacentral:rRNA from 1 species
CACUCCUGGGGAGGCAGCAGUGGGGAAUUUUGGACACUGGGCGAAAGCCUGAUCCAGCAAUGCCGCGUGAGUGAAGAAGGCCUUCGGGUUGUAAAGCUCUUUUGUCAGGGAAGAAACGGUGAGAGCUAAUAUCUCUUGCUAAUGACGGUACCUGAAGAAUAAGCACCGGCUAACUACGUGCCAGCAGCCGCGGUAAUACGUAGGGUGCAAGCGUUAAUCGGAAUUACUGGGCGUAAAGCGUGCGCAGGCGGUUUUGUAAGUCUGAUGUGAAAUCCCCGGGCUCAACCUGGGAAUUGCAUUGGAGACUGCAAGGCUAGAAUCUGGCAGAGGGGGGUAGAAUUCCACGUGUAGCAGUGAAAUGCGUAGAUAUGUGGAGGAACACCGAUGGCGAAGGCAGCCCCCUGGGUCAAGAUUGACGCUCAUGCACGAAAGCGUGGGGAGCAAACAGGAUUAGAUACCCCAGUAGUCCCAU